AUUGAACGCUGGCGGCAUGCCUAACACAUGCAAGUCGAACGGGGGUAGCAAUACCCUAGUGGCGGACGGGUGAGGAAUACGUAGGAAUUUGCCCUUAAGUGGGGGAUAACCCGGGGAAACCCGGACUAAUACCGCAUGAUCUCGUGAGAGCAAAGCAGGGGACCGCAAGGCCUUGCGCUUUUGGAGAAGCCUACGUCGGAUUAGCUAGUUGGUGGGGUAAUGGCCCACCAAGGCUACGAUCCGUAACUGGGCUGAGAGGAUGAUCAGUCACACCGGAACUGAGACACGGACCGGACUCCUACGGGAGGCAGCAGUGGGGAAUAUUGGACAAUGGGCGAAAGCCUGAUCCGGCAAUGCCGCGUGUGUGAAGAAGGCCUUCGGGUUGUAAAGCACUUUAGGCUGGAAAGAAAAAGCUUUGGCUAAUAUCCAAAGCCUUGACGGUACCAGCAGAAUAAGCACCGGCUAACUUUGUGCCAGCAGCCGCGGUAAAAC
rnacentral:rRNA from 1 species